rnacentral:rRNA from 1 species
AUUGAACGCUGGCGGCAUGCUUUACACAUGCAAGUCGAACGGUAGCAGGUUAAGCUGACGAGUGGCGAACGGGUGAGUAAUGCAUCGGAACGUGCCCGGUCGUGGGGGAUAACGCAGCGAAAGCUGCGCUAAUACCGCAUACGAUCUAAGGAUGAAAGCGGGGGACCGUAAGGCCUCGCGCGAUCGGAGCGGCCGAUGUCAGAUUAGGUAGUUGGUGGGGUAAAGGCUCACCAAGCCAACGAUCUGUAGCUGGUCUGAGAGGACGACCAGCCACACUGGGACUGAGACACGGCCCAGACGCCUACGGGAGGCAGCAGUGGGGAAUUUUGGACAAUGGGCGAAAGCCUGAUCCAGCAAUGCCGCGUGCAGGAAGAAGGCCUUCGGGUUGUAAACUGCUUUUGUACGGAGCGAAAAGGUCUCCUCUAAUACAGGGGGCUCAUGACGGUACCGUAAGAAUAAGCACCGGCUAACUACGUGCCAGCCGCCGCGGUAA